rnacentral:rRNA from 1 species
GCUCAGAAUCAACGCUGUCGGCGUGCCUAACACAUGCAAGUCGAACGAGAAAGUGGAGCAAUCCAUGAGUAAAGUGGCGACCGGGUGAGUAACACGUGACUAACCUACCUUUGAGUGGGGAAUAUCCUCGGGAAACCGGGGUUAAUACCGCAUAACACCUAGAGGUCAAAGGAGCAAUCCGCUUGAAGAGGGGGUCGCGGCUGAUUAGCUAGUUGGUAGGGUAAUGGCCUACCAAGGCAGUGAUCAGUAUCCGGCCUGAGAGGGCGCACGGACACACUGGAAGUGAAACACGAGUCCAGACUCCUACGGGAGGCAGCAGUGGGGAAUUUUGCACAAUGGGGGAAACCCUGAUGCAGCAACGCCACGUGGAGGAUGAAGCCCCUUGGGGCGUAAACUCCUUUCGAUCGGGACGAUAAUGACGGUACCGGAAGAAGAAGCACCGGCUAACUCUGUGCCAGCAGCCGCGGUAAUACAGAGGGUGCAAGCGUUGUUCGGAAUUAUUGGGCGUAAAGGGUGCGUAAGCGGUGCGGUAAGUCUUUUGUGAAAUCUCCGGGCUCAACUCGGAGCCUGCAAGAGAAACUGCCGUGCUGGAGUAUGGGAGAGGUGAGUGGAAUUCUUGGUGUAGCGGUGAAAUGAGUAGAUAUCAGGAGGAACACCUGUGUCGAAAGCGGCUCACUGGACCAUCACUGACUCUGAUGCACGAAAGCUAGGGGAGCAAACAGGAUGAGAUACCCUGGUAGUCCUAGCCCUAAACUAUGAUUGCUUGGUGUGUCGGGUACCCAAUCCCGACGUGCCGGAGCUAACGCGAUAAGCAAUCCG